AUGAACGCUGGCGGCGUGCUUAAUACAUGCAAGUCGAGCGGUAACACUUCGGGUGACGAGCGGCGGACGGCUGAGUAACGCGUAGGAACCUACCCCGGACUGAGGGAUAAGCAUCAGAAAUGGUGUCUAAUACCGCAUACCGUCUUCGGACGAAAGCUUCGGCGGUUUGGGAAGGGCCUGCGUCUGAUUAGCUUGUUGGUGAGGUAACGGCUCACCAAGGCGACGAUCGGUAGCUGGUCUGAGAGGAUGAUCAGCCAGACUGGGACUGAGACACGGCCCAGACUCCUACGGGAGGCAGCAGUAGGGAAUUUUCCACAAUGGGGGCAACCCUGAUGGAGCAACGCCGCGUGCAGGAUGAAGGCUUUCGGGUCGUAAACUGCUUUUCUGGGGGACGAUUAUGACGGUACUCCAGGAAUAAGGGUCGGCUAACUACGUGCCAGCAGCCGCGGUCAUACGUAGGACCCAAGCGUUAUCCGGAAUUACUGGGCGUAAAGGGUUGCGUAGGUGGCAGAGUAAGUUAUUAGUGAAAGCGUGUGGCUCAACCAUAUAUACAUUAAUAAAACUGCUCAGCUAGAAGAUGGGAGAGGUAGCUGGAAUUCCUAGUGUAGGAGUGAAAUCCGUAGAUAUUAGGAGGAACACCGAUGGCGUAGGCAGGCUACUGGCCCAUUCUUGACACUCAGGCACGAAAGCGUGGGGAGCGAACGGGAUUAGAUACCCCGGUAGUCCACGCCGUAAACGAUGGAUGCUAGCUGUUAUCAGUAUCGGACCCUGGUAGUAGCGAAGCUAACGCGUUAAGCAUCCCGCCUGUGGAGUACGGCCGCAAGGCUAAAACAUAAAGGGAUUGACGGGGACCCGCACAAGCGGUGGAGCGCGUUGUUUAAUUCGAGGAUAAGCGAAGAACCUUACCAGGGUUUGACAUCCUACUUAGAUUUCCGAAAGGAAAUUGUGCCUUCGGGCCGUAGUGACAGGUGAUGCAUGGCCGUCGUCAGCUCGUGUCGUGAGAUGUUUGGUUAAGUCCAUCAACGAGCGCAACCCUUAUAGUCAGUUGGAUUUCUCUGGCUAGACUGCUCCGGUAACGGGGAGGAAGGAGGGGAUGAUGUCAGGUCCGUAUUUCCCUUACACCCUGGGCUACAAACACGCUACAAUGGCCGGUACAAAGGGCAGCCAACCCGCGAGGGGGAGCAAAUCCCAUCAAAGCCGGUCUCAGUUCGGAUAGCAGGCUGAAACUCGCCUGCUUGAAGCCGGAAUCGCUAGUAACGGUAGGUCAGCACACUACCGUGAAUACGUUCCCGGGUCUUGUACACACCGCCCGUCAAACCAUGAAAGUCGCCAAUACCUGACGUCUGAGCUAGUCUCGGCCUAAGGUAGGGGAGAUGAUUGGGGUU
rnacentral:rRNA from 1 species